CAAGAAGACAGCAAUGUGCAGCAGAACCUGAUCAUGCUGGCACCCUGGUCUCAGAUUUCCAUCCUCCAGAACUGUGAGAAAUACAUUUCUACUAUUUAUAAGCCACCCAGUCUAUGGUACUACAUUACAGCAGUCUGAACCAAUGAAGACAAUGGAAAAAGUCCGGAAAGGUGUUUUUUCAUUUCUCUGGCUACUUGGUAGAAAACUUCCCAUGGAGAAAUGCACAGUGACCCUGGCACACCUGCGGACCACUCCUGGGGGGUCUGCGGGGCUUUAUUGCCACCCACUGAGAAAGGAACACUUCCCUUUGUGCCCAGGGUGGCUUCGUACUCCACGGCUCCCGGCCCUCGGCCCAGCGACUUCUAGCUGAAGCCACGUUCCCUGUGCCCACACUGGUGCUCAUCACUGGACAACAGAACCUGUUUCAAACUUAAUUGUUUCUUUCAUCCAAAAUUGCUGCCCUGGGACCCCAUAAUGGAGGAGAAAGUGGAUUUAAUUAUUCCUCAGUGCCCACUGCCUGGAUGACUCGGAGCUUGACACAAUAGAAACACACUCCAGUGCUCAUGGGCUUGUUCACUCGACAUUGCUUCUCUA
rnacentral:lncRNA from 10 species